GCGGUAUUCUAACCGUGCAAGGUAGCGUAAUCACUUGUUUUCUAAAUAAAGACCUGUAUGAAAGGCACCACGAGAGCUAAACUGUCUCCUUUUUCCAAUCAGUAAACCUAAUCUCCCUGUGAAAAAGCAGGGAUUGAAAUAUAAGACGAGAAGACCCUGUGGAGCUUAAAACAUUAAUCCAAUGUUUUGGUUGGGGUGACCACGGAGAAAAACUUAUCCUCCGUAAUGAAAGAAAAUACAACUUUAAGCAUCAAUUGAUCAAUGAACCAAGUUACCCCAGGGAUAACAGCACAAUCCGCUUUAAGAGCCCCUAUCGACAAGCGGGCUUAUGACCUCGAUGUUGGAUCGGGAUAUCCCAGUGGUGCAACCGCUACUAAAGGUUCGUUUG
rnacentral:rRNA from 1 species